rnacentral:rRNA from 1 species
AUUGAACGCUGACGGCAUGCCUUACACAUGCAAGUCGAACGGCAGCGGACCUUCGGGUGCCGGCGAGUGGCGAACGGGUGAGUAAUAUAUCGGAACGUACCUUUCAGUGGGGGAUAACGUAGCGAAAGUUACGCUAAUACCGCAUAUUCUGUGAGCAGGAAAGCAGGGGAUCGCAAGACCUUGCGCUGAUUGAGCGGCCGAUAUCAGAUUAGCUAGUUGGUGAGGUAAAGGCUCACCAAGGCGACGAUCUGUAGCGGGUCUGAGAGGAUGAUCCGCCACACUGGAACUGAGACACGGUCCAGACUCCUACGGGAGGCAGCAGUGGGGAAUUUUGGACAAUGGGCGCAAGCCUGAUCCAGCCAUGCCGCGUGAGUGAAGAAGGCCUCGGUUGUAAG